rnacentral:rRNA from 1 species
UACGGAGGGUGCAAGCGUUAUCCGGAUUCACUGGGGUUAAAGGGUGCGUAGGUGGGCAGGUAAGUCAGUGGUGAAAUCUCUGGGCUUAACCCGGAAACUGCCGUUGAUACUAUCUGUCUUGAAUAUAGUGGAGGUGAGCGGAAUAUGUCAUGUAGCGGUGAAAUGCUUAGAUAUGACAUAGAACAUCGAUUGCGAAGGCAGCUCGCUACACUAUGAUUGACACUGAGGCACGAAAGCGUGGGGAUCAAACAGG